rnacentral:rRNA from 1 species
UACGGGAGGCAGCAGUGGGGAAUAUUGCACAAUGGGCGCAAGCCUGAUGCAGCCAUGCCGCGUGUAUGAAGAAGGCCUUCGGGUUGUAAAGUACUUUCAGUCGUGAGGAAGGUGUUAAGGUUAAUAACCUUAGCAAUUGACGUUAGCGACAGAAGAAGCACCGGCUAACUCCGUGCCAGCAGCCGCGGUAAUACGGAGGGUGCGAGCGUUAAUCGGAAUUACUGGGCGUAAAGGGCACGCAGGCGGUUAAUUAAGUUGGACGUGAAAUCCCCGGGCUUAACCUGGGAAUGGCAUUCAAGACUGGUUAGCUAGAGUCUUGUAGAGGGGGUUAGAAUUCCAUGUGUAGCGGUGAAAUGCGUAGAGAUGUGGAGGAAUACCGGUGGCGAAGGCGGCCCCUGGACAAAGACUGACGCUCAUGUGCGAAAGCGUGGGGAGCGAAACAGGGAUUAGAUACCCGU